ACCCGCUGAACUUAAGCAUAUCAAUAAGCGGAGGAAAAGAAACCAACAGGGAUUGCCCCAGUAACGGCGAGUGAAGCGGCAACAGCUCAAAUUUGAAAUCUGGUCCCCUUUGGGGGCCCGAGUUGUAAUUUGAAGAGGAUGCUUUUGGCGAGGCGCCGUCCGAGUUCCCUGGAACGGGACGCCGCAGAGGGUGAGAGCCCCGUACGGUCGGACGCCGAGCCUCUGUAAAGCUCCUUCGACGAGUCGAGUAGUUUGGGAAUGCUGCUCAAAAUGGGAGGUAAACCCCUUCUAAAGCUAAAUACCGGCCAGAGACCGAUAGCGCACAAGUAGAGUGAUCGAAAGAUGAAAAGCACUUUGAAAAGAGAGUUAAAAAGCACGUGAAAUUGUUAAAAGGGAAGCGCUUGCGACCAGACUUGCGCCCGUCGGAUCAACCGUCGCUUGCGGCGGCGCACUCCGGCGGGCUCAGGCCAGCAUCAGUUCGCCUGGGGGGAGAAAGGCGGCGGGAAUGUGGCUCUUCGGAGUGUUAUAGCCCGCCGUGUAAUACCCUCGGGUGGACUGAGGACCGCGCGUAUGCAAGGAUGCUGGCGUAAUGGUCGUCAGCGACCCGUCUUGAAACACGGACCAAGGAGUCGUCCUAAUAUGCGAGUGUACGGGUGUCAAACCCCUGCGCGUAAUGAAAGUGAACGGAGGUGAGAGCUUCGGCGCAUCAUCGACCGAUCCUGAUGUUAUCGGAUGGAUUUGAGUAAGAGCAUAUUGGGCCGGACCCGAAAGAAGGUGAACUAUGCCUGUGUAGGGUAAAGCCAGAGGAAACUCUGGUGGAGGCUCGCAGCGGUUCUGACGUGCAAAUCGAUCGUCAAACAUGGGCAUGGGGGCGAAAGACUAAUCGAACCUUCUAGUAGCUGGUUUCCGCCGAAGUUYCCCCUYCAGGA
rnacentral:sRNA from 1 species